UGAAUUAUUCACCCGUGUCUUUUGCGUACUUCUUGUUUCCUGGGUGGGCUCGCCCGCCAUCAGGACCAACCACAAACCUUUUGCAAUAGCAAUCAGCGUCAGUAACAACGUAAUUAAUUACAACUUUCAACAACGGAUCUCUUGGUUCUGGCAUCGAUGAAGAACGCAGCGAAAUGCGAUACGUAGUGUGAAUUGCAGAAUUCAGUGAAUCAUCGAAUCUUUGAACGCACAUUGCGCCCUUUGGUAUUCCAAAGGGCAUGCCUGUUCGAGCGUCAUUUGUACCCUCAAGCUUUGCUUGGUGUUGGGCGUCUUUUGUCUCCAGUUCGCUGGAGACUCGCCUUAAAGUCAUUGGCAGCCGGCCUACUGGUUUCGGAGCGCAGCACAAGUCGCGCUCUUUGCCAGCCAAGGUCAGCGUCCAGCAAGCCUUUUUUUCAACCUUUGACCUCGGAUCAGGUAGGGAUACCCGCUGAACUUAAGCAU
rnacentral:rRNA from 1 species